AGACUGUCAAGUGCAGAAUAGAAAGCCGGAAGAAUAAAAGAAAACUGAAUCUGAAUUACAUCUAAUUAAUUACUUAUGUAUUAUGAAAAAAAUAAGAUUGUAUGUAGUAAAGCACCUCAGGAUCUGGAGAGGGCAAAAUAUAUGGUGGUACAAUAAAUCUAAUUAUCUUGUGCCACACCUUUGGGCUCUCUGAUUAUAAACAAUAAAUACUCAGUAAGAUAAAGAAAUUGUGAGAGUGUAUCCUGUAUUCUAUUUACAGAAUACAAUGCAUACAACUUGCAAACAACAAUUACACUUGCGUUAUAAUUAUCUUGCAUCUACCUGGUGUUAACUGUGAGUCAUAUCAGGUUAACUCCCAUGGGUAGUAUAUAAGAUGAUAUGAAAAAUGAGUGGGAAAUGUAAUCAUGCCAUGCUCACUGAAACAUUCAGUUGAUAAUUGGUCUGACUGAGCUCGAAGAUUAUUUUGUAAAGCUGUACUACUUGUCAGACCGUGGUAUAGUUCCAAAUCCAUUUACCUGUCUACCUAUCUAAUUAUUUCUCAGUACUUAGUUGGUCUUUAGUAGAAAAGUAAAAUUAUCUUCUUUUACGAUAUGAGACAGACUGAUUUGUUCAUGAGAAAAAGAAAGAAGUCCAAACUACAACUUUGAGUAAUCAGUUGUCCUAGGCCAGGACCUUAUACAGUGUCUACACUGCAAGCAGCUCUCUGAGAACAAAAUUUGCCCUACUACCAAUAACACUUACAUAGACAGAAGUUGCUUUUUUAAUCCAUACAUCUUGAAAUUCAAUAUUUCUAUUGAAUUUGGAGUCUCACAUGUAGUCUAUUUCCAGAGAGAGGGUGUGUGACAGGAAGCCCAAUGACACUGGUUUUCUAUCAGUGCUCCUGGCAAAAACUCAUGGGAGUUCAUGCUCAGUUUGACAGCCAUUGCCUCAUUUGCAAAUUAUCAUCGAAAAUGAAGGCUAUAUUUCACAGAACACAUUGCUAUUCUUCAUCAGAUAAAUUGCCCUCAUUUCAGUUUAUAUAUAAUCUUUAAUAAUGUAGAUGUUUCUCAGCAGGCAUUUUUCAUGCUAACAUAUUAAUCCUGACAAUCGGACCAAUGGAUGAAUGAAGCUUGCUUAGCAUAGCAACACAAAGGGAAUUCAGUGAAUGUUCCUACAGGUCCUGCAAACUAAUAAUGUCCCUGUCAAAAGAUUAAUAUUACUGCAAGAAAAAUGGGAACACAAGGAAAGCAAUAAAAUAAUUAAGAGAAGAUGUAUUUUUAGAACCAGUAGUGGCUAGAUCUUGUAGUAAUAUAAGAAGUAAUAAAUUACCAUAUUUGUUAAAAUUUUCAUAAGGAAGUCAGAACCACUUGUGCAGAAUUUUAUAGUUCUUAAUUUUCAGAAUGAAUUGAAAAUAUAAAGAAAUGUGGUAACAAGCAGGACACUGAUAGAAACUUUUAAAUCACUCCACAGAUAAACAGUACAGUAAGUGAGAUGCAGAAAGAUAUUAAAAGUUUUAAACUGAAUGGAUCAUUCAAAAGCAGUUUGAGAGAAUAAGCCACAGCUGUUGGUGUCGUCCCGAGUGAUAUGAUUUAUUGUCGUCCCGAGUGAUAUGUUUAUUACACAAAUUACCAGGGCACAGCAGAACGGAGUAGAUGUACUGGUAAGUCUUGAUGUGUAGAGCAGAAGAAAGCACUGGCACAGAGCUGAAGAGCAGCAUCCUCAUACAUAGAAGGAAGACUGAAAGCAUUUACUAAGAAAUUGAUACUUAGAACUGCUUUUCCUGAACUUACUGUCCUUUCCCAUGGGAGAUAUAGCUAGACCUGACAUAUUAUUUUCUGAUUGUUACUUUAUUCAUGCUUAUGUCCUACAGAUGUAAGAUCUGGAGGGAAGAAUAGAAAGUCAGGAGUGCCCUAAUGCAUUAGGGAUCAAGUGAGCUUCACUACAGGAAUAGGGUCAUUUUCUCACAAGCUCUUCUUCCAUAUCACUUUGCAGUAACAAUUAGAAGAAGUCAAAUCAAUUGUCAAAAGAACAUCUAUUUAUACCUGCAAAUAUAUCUAUCCAACGAGUAAGCAAUAUCACACAUAACUCUGACAGCGUAAGCCUUAUCCCAGGCAGGAACAUAGGGAAUUUCUACAUAAAUUGUGAACUUUCAGCUCUGAAACCUGUUUUCCAGACCAUUUUUAAGGUCAGAAAUCCAGCACAGAAAUAUCAAAUGAUUUAGAUGUAGACAAGUUAUAGAUGAGUAUAAAUGGUGACAUCUGUUAUGAAGCCUCAGGUGUUGGUAAGGAUUAGUAAUAAUGCAAGACACGCCAACUCUGCCUGUGCUCUACUGCCAACUGAUUACAUUUUUGUGUACAGCUUCCCCUUCUUUAGGCAAUGUAAGUGCUCCAGGCAACAGAUCCAUUUCUUGUCUCAUUAGAGCCACAAAUAAU
ensembl:lncRNA